UUCAUUCCGUGUUGUCGAUGGUCGCUAGUUAGCAGUAUAUGCCAUAAACAUGGGGAUUUUCUUGAUCACCAAGGUUGAACUGAGAGCUCUUGUGACGAGUUACAUCUUGCUAAGGAUACUGGGUAUCGUCGAGUACGGGUGCAACUGGAUUCAAAUGUUACGAUUCAUCUAUUGUUGGGGGAUGGUGAUCUUACACACCAACACUCUUCUAAGAUCCCCAGUUUCCAUUAGAUGUUGGAUCAAAAUUAGCAUGGUCAAAAUUAACCAUAUAAUUGGAAGGCAACUGGGCCGUCGACUACUUAGUUGGUCAAGGUCAUAAUUUACUAAUUGAUGUCCAUUCUAUUUCCAGUGUUUAUCCUAAUUUGUCGCUACAUAUUAUGUAUGACUUAGUUGGGGUUUCUCAACCUCGUUUAAUUAUGAUUGAUAGAUAAAAGUUGAGGCACCUGGAUUUAAAUAAAAUUAAAAUUGAGCCAAAAGCUAAAAGUUAAAACUUGUAUAUUAUUUUGGGAUAAACACUUGAUUAUAUCACUAUGAAGUUAUUUUGUAUGGG
rnacentral:lncRNA from 1 species